AGUGUGUCUGUAUGAACCCCUCUCUCUCAGUGCAGUGUUAAUGUACUGGAGUGUCCAGUCAGUCAGUGUGUCUGUAUGAACCCCUCUCUCUCAGAAUACCCUGGUGAUAGACACGCCUCGUGUCAGGAAGCAGACUCGACAGUUCAGCUCUCUGCGGGAGGACGACAUCGUGGAGUUCUCCGACCUGGACAGCGAGGAAGAGGAGCGCCCGCGGUCUCGGCGUUCCGACCGGCACCACGGCUACGGGCGCACGGACUGCUUCCGGGUCGAGAAGCACCUGCUGGUCUACGGGUGGGGGCGCUGGCGGGACAUCCUGUCCCACGCGCGGUUCAAGCGCCGGCUGUCGGAGCGCGACGUGGAGACCAUCUGCCGCGUGAUCCUGGUGUACUGCCUGCUGCACUACCGCGGCGACGAGAACAUCAAGAGCUUCAUCUGGGAGCUCAUCACGCCCCCGGAGAACGGGCGGACACGCGCCCUGCACAACCACUCCGGUCAGUCCGCCCCUCUGUCUCUCCCUCCCUCUCCGGUCAGUCUCUCUCCCUCUCCCUCUCCGGUCAGUCU
rnacentral:lncRNA from 1 species